rnacentral:rRNA from 1 species
CAAAAGUGAAAGACGGUCUUGCUGUCACUUAUAGAUGGAUCCGCGCUGCAUUAGCUAGUUGGUAAGGUAACGGCUUACCAAGGCAACGAUGCAUAGCCGACCUGAGAGGGUGAUCGGCCACACUGGAACUGAGACACGGUCCAGACUCCUACGGGAGGCAGCAGUAGGGAAUCUUCCGCAAUGGGCGAAAGCCUGACGGAGCAACGCCGCGUGAGUGAUGAAGGUCUUCGGAUCGUAAAACUCUGUUAUUAGGGAAGAACAUAUGUGUAAGUAACUGUGCACAUCUUGACGGUACCUAAUCAGAAAGCCACGGCUAACUACGUGCCAGCAGCCGCGGUAAUACGUAGGUGGCAAGCGUUAUCCGGAAUUAUUGGGCGUAAAGCGCGCGUAGGCGGUUUUUUAAGUCUGAUGUGAAAGCCCACGGCUCAACCGUGGAGGGUCAUUGGAAACUGGAAAACUUGAGUGCAGAAGAGGAAAGUGGAAUUCCAUGUGUAGCGGUGAAAUGCGCAGAGAUAUGGAGGAACACCAGUGGCGAAGGCGACUUUCUGGUCUGUAACUGACGCUGAUGUGCGAAAGCGUGGGGAUCAAACAGGAUUAGAUACCCUGGUAGUCCACGCCGUAAACGAUGAGUGCUAAGUGUUAGGGGGUUUCCGCCCCUUAGUGCUGCAGCUAACGCAUUAAGCACUCCGCCUGGGGAGUACGACCGCAAGGUUGAAACUCAAAGGAAUUGACGGGGACCCGCACAAGCGGUGGAGCAUGUGGUUUAAUUCGAAGCAACGCGAAGAACCUUACCAAAUCUUGACAUCCUUUGACAACUCUAGAGAUAGAGCNNNNNNNNNNNNNNNNNNNNNNNNNNNNNNNNNNNUUCCCCUUCGGGGGACAAAGUGACAGGUGGUGCAUGGUUGUCGUCAGCUCGUGUCGUGAGAUGUUGGGUUAAGUCCCGCAACGAGCGCAACCCUUAAGCUUAGUUGCCAUCAUUAAGUUGGGCACUCUAAGUUGACUGCCGGUGACAAACCGGAGGAAGGUGGGGAUGACGUCAAAUCAUCAUGCCCCUUAUGAUUUGGGCUACACACGUGCUACAAUGGACAAUACAAAGGGCAGCGAAACCGCGAGGUCAAGCAAAUCCCAUAAAGUUGUUCUCAGUUCGGAUUGUAGUCUGCAACUCGACUACAUGAAGCUGGAAUCGCUAGUAAUCGUAGAUCAGCAUGCUACGGUGAAUACGUUCCCGGGUCUUGUACACACCGCCCGUCACACCACGAGAGUUUGUAACACCCGAAGCCGGUGGAGUAACCUUUUAGGAGCUAGCCGUCGAAGGUGGGACAAAUGAUUGGGGUGAAGUCGUAACAAGGUAGCCGUAUCGGAAGGUGCGGCUGGAUCACCU